rnacentral:sRNA from 1 species
AAGUUGAUUGGGAUACUCUUCAAUUUUAAAUGAAAUGCCGACGGCUUACUUGGCAAUGGCGGGCCUCAACCCCCUUGGGGUGCACCUUUGGGUGCCGGAGGAUUACAAAGGCAAGGACGCUUUCAAAUCUUGUAUUUAUCGGAGUUUCAUCACAUCCCUUUGGUGUGGCUUCU